CACCUGCUCCUAAUAGUUGAGGGAAGUAAUAGGGUUACUUUGAUUUUCAGUUGUGCUAGUCUCUUCUCAAUACAAGCCUAGCUUCUUUCAGGUCCUGUUAGAACAACAUUGUUUUUGCCUUACCCAAGGUAAAUUGGGCCCAAGGAUGUUGUCCGAUACACAUAGAUUACCAAAUGAAAUGUGGUUAAUGCAUAUAAAAUAUGCCAAGAUUAAUCCAAAAAGGGGAAUGAAGACAAUCCUUAAGUCAGACUGCCUCAAGGGAAUCUGCGCCGGAAGGUGCUGCAGGUCAUUGCAGACCACUCCCAUCACCAUCUCAUCUAGAGCAUGAAGAGUUCCUCUCUUCGGACUAGGGAUGGAGAACAUGUUGGGAUACAAUAGGGUUCUGGGGCCUGCUUCUGUGACAUUUGAAUACACUCAACUUUAUUUGAAACAGAACUGACGGGAUCCCAAAUUGUUGAACUCCUUGAUAAAAAUUCGCCUGCUCGGCUCAAUGGUAGAGUUCUUCUGAUCUUUUAAAGUGAACUUAAUUGACACCUUGAACUGGGAAAAAAAUAAAACAACCCCAAACCUGGCUUGAUUCUGUUUUGGGUGAGGGUCAUCUCAGAAUGGCUAAGACUUGAGGAGGAAGGAUGGUCCAGUGGCUAAGGACCAGCUUGAGACCUGGGUUCAAUUGCCUGCUCUGUCAAAGUGUCAUAGACUUUACAGUCGAAGGGACCAUCAUGUGUCUGUGCCUCAAUUCGCCAUCUCAUGGGGUAUUUGCGAGGAGCCCAGAUACUAUGGUAACAGAGGCCAUGUUAGAUGUAUCAUCUUGUCUGGAGUAAGAGAUCAGAAGCUGGUAUUGCUACAGUUCAGUGGAUAUUGUAUUCACUUUUAUCAACUCCCCUGGGAGAAACUGACAAUUGGAAUGCUGCAUCAAAGAUCAAUGGAAGAACUUCAGCUUGACAGAAAACAUGCAGACCCACGAACCACAAAGAAACUUUGGCCUCUAAGCAGUAACGGAGGAGCAUACUUAAGUAGGAGCAGAGGUAAAUGGAUUCCUGCAAUUCAAGCGAGGGGACGCCAGACUUGAAUGAAACACAGGGAACUUUCAGGCGAAAACGAAUGGCUGUUCCUCAUUACGAGAGACAUUUUGAGAAGUCUGCUUCUGGCUUUCAUUGGCACUGGUGUAAAUCUGAAGCAAUGCCAUCCACUUCAGUGGUGUCAUGGCAAUUAGCCCCAGUGGAAAGGAGAAUCUGGUGCAAUGUGAACUCAGUAUUAUGAUACUAAGAAUGGAAGAUGUUUAGCUCACACGCUUAACAAAACCCCUUUGCUUUUGCUGCAACCUCCAGGUUGGAGUUUUUUCCUUGUUAGUUGACUACCGGUUAGCUGGAAGGACUUAGCACCUUGCUAAAGGCUAGUCUGAACCCUCUCCUAAGGUUUGUUCUAAGCUUACAAGCGUUUGUCCAGGGUAUGUCGAGCCUGGGAGAAAGGUGUGCUUUUAAAACAGGACAUAUUUUAAUAUCCUAGUGUAAACAUGGCAAAGAGCUCACACGCUUGUUAGCUGGUUGAGAUGAACCCUAGAGACUGGGAGAGCUGGGUUGCCGACUAGUAUCCAGGUUGUUUGACUUGUGGCUUGCUGCUUGCCAUCUGCCAUGCUUCAUUUGCCAUUUGCAAUAGUCAACACCCCCUUCCUGCUCCUCCCUUCUUGAUACAUUCACUGCCUCCUGUUAACUGAGCACCAAUGGCUGGCUCUGCCAUUCUCUUCCCUUACCCUGCUUCACAUCUGAUUUCUCCUCAUCUCAGGCCUCCUCUUCCUUUUCCCAUUUCCACCUGUGUCCCAUCAUGUUCCUCCUCAAUCAUCCCUCCCACAAGUUCUGUCCCUUCCUCAUUUCCCCUUUGUCCCUGCCUGCCUGUCCUCUCAGUAAAAAUAAUACAAACUAUACAUCCAUUUAGUGGAAUGAAAUGGGAGGGAAUUAAAACCGGAGCCAGCAAGAAGCAAGUCUAAACUGAACAAACAUUAAGCGCUGUUCUCCCCUAUUCUCUCUCCAUCCCACAUUCUGAUCAAUUUACUCACUAGAGAGAUACUCAGAGUAAGGGAAGGACUUGCAGGAUCAGGCCCUUUGAUUGUAAACUCUUCAGGGCAGGGACAGUGUCCUCAGCCAAGUCUCCGGCAUGCCAGGCACUCACAUGGUGGCGUAAAUAAUAAUCACGGCUGCUUGGGCUCAUCUCUUUUCCAGGUGGGUAGUGACAUUAAUGUUUAAGGAGAACAUCCAUGAGAGUCCCAGGCAGUCUACAGAGUAGGUGAGACGAGGACACACAAUUUGCUCUCCUGGUCUAUUUGCUAUUAAAUUGUCAAAUAUUAGAUUUUUCUAAAAAUUAUGAUGUCCCUUUGGUGGCCAUUACCAACACAGGCCAUUGUCUGGGUAUUUGAUGUACUAGAGAACGCACCAUAACUGAAAACUGUAGACUUCAUGGAACUUCUAAAGAGUUGUUCUAAUUCCAUCCUUUUCGGUCACUCUCUGACAUUGGGCUACAAGGACUCCCUCUGGUGGAUAAUUUAACACCUGCAAAUACAUAUAGAAUUUUUUUUUAAACCACAUAUUGUGUAAGUCUGCUGUAUAAGGGGACUGGCUUACAUAAAAGCCUGCGAAUUUAAAGUCUGUUGUUUUGGGAGUUUUUGAACGUGUAAUUCUGGGGAACUGGAUGUCUCAGGACUUGAUAACUGGAUUAUAGAACCUUCCUUUCUAGGCCAAUAGCCCAAAUCUCAUCCAGGCUAAUAGUAGCUGAAUUACCUUUCGAUAGACCACAGACCAACGUGAAAUGAGUUACCUUGCUUCUGUCCAGUUCCCCUUGUACAGUUGUCAAGAAUUAUUUUUUUAAAUUCUUUCUUCUUUACCAUCCAGCCGUAAGAACAAAGCGAUUGGUUGCCACGGAACCCCUGUCCUAUGCAAACUAUGCAACUCUCAGGUCUGACCUGUCCCUAUCUGCAGCAGUGGACUAGUGGAUGUUAUCCAUAGACAGAGAAUGGCCAUGUAUUUUUAGUCUAAGUGACUUCCAUUUUAGAUUAAUGGAACACGAAAAAGCGAAUGCAGAACAAACGCGCAGUC